AUUUUCAUCUUUCUUCAGGAUUUUGCAGCUCCUACUAGAGAAUGGCAUUAGAGUAAAUGAACUAACAAGGACAGAGGUUGCUCUCGUCGUCCCAUAAGUGGUAGGGAGCUCCACGUACAAACUUCAUUUUUCUUAUUCACAAUAUGAUUCAUUGUUAAUACAACAAAAGAAAUUUGACAAAUUGGACAUGUUCAACAAUUGUGGGUGUGUCCAUUCACCAGUACAACUGAAUGCUUUAUUUAUUCCCAUAUAGCUUUGUGGGUUUAUAUGUCUGAGUUAUCCCUACUAUACAUAAGUAGGAGGUGACCGCUACACUAUGUAAUUGAAAAAAUAGGGAUAUCAGACCAGGUUUCCAUUGACCAAUAUUAUUAUUUUUGGUUGUGCCAGUACAAAAGACUAUCCUGUUUUCAUCAAAGCUAGAUUUGGCCCAGCUUGAUACCUGCAGGAUGCCAAUGCUAUUAUAAUCUAUUGUUGGAUGCCAUAAAUUUACCAUUCAUGUCUUCUGUUUUGUGCAACGAUAAGAUUGAUUUUAAUGUAUACGGACAAGAUAUUUAGAUACAAUCACACAAUUAAACUUUUAGCUCUAUCUGUGGAGCAACGAUACUUUAGACAAUGUAUGCCGCCAUGGUAAUUGAUGUUUUGCUGUUCAUAGUAUGAUUCAAUGACUACUAUAUUUAAUUACUUAUUGACAAAACAUGAGCUAUUUCAGAAUACAUGGAAUUAAAAUUUUAAGACAAUAAGUACAAAUAUGAGUUAUUUCAGAAUGCAUAGAAUUAAAAUUUUAAGACAACAAGUACCUGGUAACAAGUUAAUGUUUUUCAUGUUAGGGUCAAGCUUGCAGCUGUAUGAAGUUUUUUUCUGUUGUAUUAUGUCUCCAUGACUCCAUAGAGUGUCUUUUUUCAUGUUUAAUAAUUACUUAGGUUUUAUUUUAAGAAUUCCCACAUCACACAUUUUUAUUUUGUUUUCCCUGUUCCUUUUUCUCUUCCUUUCCAUUCAAUUAAUGGGAUGUUUGAUACCUUACGAUUGCACCAACCUGUUCAAUUGUACUUCAGAUAUCAUCUUCUUUGAUUGUAAUCUUUUGCAUACUCUUGUUGAUGGUGCUACCAUAUUCUUGAAACCUUCCACAUUGUCCAUCUGAGCAUUCUUCUAUCUCUGGAUUUGUCCCUUAACAAUCACUUGCUUUGAGGUUCCAUUUGGAUACACAUGACUAGAUCCAGUUUAAGAUUAUUGUAUAUCUUUUGUUCUAGCUAUUUCUGUUGUUUUUCUUUCUAUCCAUACAUUAUCAAUUUGAUGAUCCUGACGAUGCCCCUGAGGUGCAUACGCAUGAUCUCGCAACAGGUGCAGAAAAUGGCACCCAAUUACUGCCCUCGAGGUGUUGUUAGACUUAAUGGGUCACUACGCGAACAGUCAGUGUAGUUCUAUGCAUGCAUCUACAAUAACAGGUUAGUAGUAGUGUAUUUGUGCAUGGACCCCAUGUUUUCCUUUUCAUUGAAAAUUGAAAGCUUGUUCUUUUUUUACUGGAAGAUAUGUUCUCUUUUGACACCAUGAAAUGUCGUAGAUUGUCUCUCACUUCUGCUUUGCUUCAGUACCUGUCUUUUUUCCCAUGUCCCUAAAUUCUAAGCUAUGUGUGGUGUGCGCUGUGCCUGCUUCCAACAAUUGGGUUAGGUUCAGUGUCAAGUAUGUAGAUUAUACUUAAGCACACGACAUGUUCUUCCUCUCCUCAUCGCAAUAUGUUGAUUGGAUUAGAUUUCAUUUUGGCAUAUUUUUAUAAUAUUUGUCUUGCUGGCAACACCAUCUAGAACCCUUUCGUGAACCAGCAUGAGUGGACAACACUGGUGGGUAGCCACAUGCACAAAAGAGGAAAAAAUGGUCUUUUUUCCUUCAUGAUUUAAUUAUUGUGCCUUCACAUAUAUAGGGUUGAAAUUGUCCUCCAUUAAAACUCUUUUGGUAUACAUGCAUACUGAGAAGUUGUCAUAUUUUCUAUAAUUUUAUAACUACUAAUUAUCGAAUAAUGUCUUAGGGACCGUCUGUUUCCCUUCACUUUGAGAAUCGAAAUCUAAGUAAUGGAAUAGGCUAUCUUUUUAAAAUGUGACAUUCCAUAACUACCUGCAUUCUUUAUUUGACCGACAAUCUUAUAAAAGUGUAUGUAGAUAUGUAUGUAGAUGUUUAUGUAGAUGUGGAUGCAUUCUUCUAUACGAGCUCCCCUCUAGCUUGUAACUUGUGUAAAACCUCAAGGUAGUGAGUUAUAUUUUGUCUUGAUUAUUGUACAGGGCUACAUGCACGUUGUUUCAUUACUAAGAGAGAGGAAACAUAGCAGUAGCACACAAGUUUUUCUUGAUUAUUGGUAUAUUCAGAUCAGUGCUAUAUUGCUAAGUUUUUUUUAUUGGUAUACUCAGAUCAGCACUUAAAAGAAUCACAGACUUAAAUCAAUCACUUGCUUUGAGGUUCCAUUUGGAUACACAUGACUAGAUCCAGUUUAAGAUUAUUGUAUAUCUUUUGUUCUAGCUAUUUCUGUUGUUUUUCUUUCUAUCCAUACAUUAUCAAUUUGAUGAUCCUGACGAUGCCCCUGAGGUGCAUACGCAUGAUCUCGCAACAGGUGCAGAAAAUGGCACCCAAUUACUGCCCUCGAGGUGUUGUUAGACUUAAUGGGUCACUACGCGAACAGUCAGUGUAGUUCUAUGCAUGCAUCUACAAUAACAGAAAUGUGUCAAGAGAGUUGAGAAUGAUGAUACUGGUCACCAAAACUGCACUGGGUAAUAUUUUGAUUACUGGUCAUGCAUCGACAAAUGUGUAAGUAUAAGUACUUAAUUCCAGCUUGCACUUCACCAUUUGUCAUUGUCAAGCUAGAAAUAACAAAUUUUCUAUGAAACAUGCCUCUGCAGGUAGCACCAAAGCUCUUUAAGAAGCUCAAAUCAUUUAUGCGAUAAGCUCGAGUCGUCCACUGGUGGCUUAUCUUCUCUGCCUGGUGAGAGCUGGCACUACCGUUUGGUGUCGUGACCUUGCUGAUGCUUGUUCGC